CUCAUUUUCUGGGUUCUCACAUGAUUCUAACAAGUAAAGAUCCACUUCUGUUUUGCACUCUACAAAAGUAUUGUCUUUUAAAAUCCUCAUAUAACCCGAAUCAAACACUUGCCUAGCAUCAACCUCAGUAUCAACCUCUAACUCUUUUUCAUCAUUGACAACAUCCAUUACUUCCACAUCAUCAACAUAAAGCAAUUUGUAUUCCUCAUAUAAAC
rnacentral:lncRNA from 1 species